rnacentral:rRNA from 1 species
GACGAACGCUGGCGGCGUGCUUAACACAUGCAAGUCGAGCGAUGAAGCUUCUUCGGAAGUGGAUUAGCGGCGGACGGGUGAGUAACACGUGGGUAACCUGCCUCGUAGAGGGGAAUAGCCUUCCGAAAGGAAGAUUAAUACCGCAUAAGAUUGUAGUAUCGCAUGAUACAGCAAUUAAAGGAGUAAUCCGCUAUGAGAUGGACCCGCGUCGCAUUAGCUAGUUGGUGAGGUAACGGCUCACCAAGGCGACGAUGCGUAGCCGACCUGAGAGGGUGAUCGGCCACAUUGGGACUGAGACACGGCCCAGACUCCUACGGGAGGCAGCAGUGGGGAAUAUUGCACAAUGGGGGAAACCCUGAUGCAGCAACGCCGCGUGAGUGAUGACGGUCUUCGGAUUGUAAAACUCUGUCUUUAGGGACGAUAAUGACGGUACCUAAGGAGGAAGCCACGGCUAACUACGUGCCAGCAGCCGCAGUAACAC